GCCAGGCGUCGUGACUCACAUCUGUAUUCCCAUCUACUUGGGAGGCUGAGGCAAGAGGAUCCCUUGAGCCCAAUAGUUCUAGGCUACAGCUCUGGGCUAUGCCAAUCAGAUGUCUACACUAAGUUCAGCAUUUAUAUGAUGACGUCCCAGAAGCAGGAGGACUACCAGGUUGCCUAAGGAGGGAUGAACCCACCCAGGUUACAAAAAAAAAACAAAAAAAUGGAGCAGGUCACAACUCCUGUGCUGACCAGUAGUGGGAAUGCACCUAUGAAAACCACUGCACUCCAGCCUAGGCAACAUAGCAAGGCACCAUCUUCGU
rnacentral:SRP_RNA from 1 species